UACAGAGGUCUCAAGCGUUGUUCGGAUUCAUUGGGCGUAAAGGGUGCGUAGGCGGCGCGGUAAGUCGGGUGUGAAAUCUUGGAGCUUAACUCCGAAACUGCAUUCGAUACUGCCGUGCUUGAGGACUGGAGAGGAGACUGGAAUUUACGGUGUAGCGGUGAAAUGCGUAGAUAUCGUAAGGAAGACCAGUGGCGAAGGCGGGUCUCUGGACAGUUCCUGACGCUAAAGCACGAAGGCCAGGGGAGCAAACGGG
rnacentral:rRNA from 1 species